AAAGGAGAGUAAAGUACAGUCCAGAGUCCCCUUCUCUGGGGCUUCCUGUCCUUGUGCCCCUCUCAUACCCAUGCUGGUUACAGAACAGGGAGGAAGACAACUGGGUGUUGUGACUGACACUUGCAGGUGGCAGGCUUCAGUAUUUCAGAGGGGGCUCAAGAGAAGCGAAGAAACGGACCUAUUUUGUUGAUGAUUAAGCCAGAAAGAGAAGAGAUCAUGAGAAAGUCACAGUGGAUUCCUGUUUCAGAACAACAUCAGAGGGAAUACGAGGGAUGUGAGAAAAGUGUAGGUAAGUUUUCAAAAAUCCCAUUGCUUCCAAACCCAUUAAAAUGACAGUUUUCUCCUGGCAUUAUCAUUUCCUGCCUUUGAAUCUACAUCCGUCCUCUGCCUUGCUCUUCUCCUGGAUGUCGGCCCUUCCCUCCCCAAUUAUACGUGUAUGCAUUUCAUCUUA
rnacentral:lncRNA from 1 species